GGCUGGUCCAAUGGUAGUGGGUUAUCAGAACUUAUUCACAUUAGUGUCACUAAAGUUGGUAUUCAACCCCCCACUGCUAAAUUUGACUGGCUUUAA
rnacentral:Y_RNA from 1 species